GUGCCAGCCGCCGCGGUAAGACGAACCGUGCAAACGUUGUUCGGAAUCACUGGGCUUAAAGGGCGCGUAGGCGGUUUGCCAAGUCAGGGGUGAAAUCCUGCAGCUCAACUGUAGAAGUGCCUUUGAUACUGGCGAACUCGAGGGAGGUAGGGGUGGGUGGAACUUCUGGUGGAGCGGUGAAAUGCGUUGAUAUCAGAAGGAACGCCGGUGGCGAAAGCGACCCACUGGAUCUCUACUGACGCUGAGGCGCGAAAGCCAGGGGAGCGAACGGGAUUAGAAACCCGCGUAGUCC
rnacentral:rRNA from 1 species